rnacentral:rRNA from 1 species
AUGAACGCUGGCGGCGUGCCUAAUACAUGCAAGUCGAGCGAACAGAUGAGGAGCUUGCUCCUCUGACGUUAGCGGCGGACGGGUGAGUAACACGUGGAUAACCUACCUAUAAGACUGGGAUAACUUCGGGAAACCGGAGCUAAUACCGGAUAAUAUAUUGAACCGCAUGGUUCAAUAGUGAAAGACGGUUUUGCUGUCACUUAUAGAUGGAUCCGCGCCGCAUUAGCUAGUUGGUAAGGUAACGGCUUACCAAGGCAACGAUGCGUAGCCGACCUGAGAGGGUGAUCGGCCACACUAGAACUGAGACACGGUCCAGACUCCUACGGGAGGCAGCAGUAGGGAAUCUUCCGCAAUGGGCGAAAGCCUGACGGAGCAACGCCGCGUGAGUGAUGAAGGUCUUAGGAUCGUAAAACUCUGUUAUUAGGGAAGAACAAAUGUGUAAGUAACUAUGCACGUCUUGACGGUACCUAAUCAGAAAGCCACGGCUAACUACGUG